rnacentral:rRNA from 1 species
UUCCAGACUCCUACGGGAGGCAGCAGUGGGGAAUAUUGCACAAUGGGGGAAACCCUGAUGCAGCGACGCCGCGUGAGCGAAGAAGUACCUCGGUAUGUAAAGCUCUAUCAGCAGGGAAGAAGAUGACGGUACCUGACCAAGAAGCUCCGGCUAAAUACGUGCCAGCAGCCGCGGUAAUACGUAGGGGGCAAGCGUUAUCCGGAUUUACUGGGUGUAAAGGGAGCGUAGACGGCGGUGCAAGCCAGAUGUGAAAGCCCGGGGCUCAACCCCGGGACUGCAUUUGGAACUGUGCUGCUAGAGUGUCGGAGAGGCAGGCGGAAUUCCUAGUGUAGCGGUGAAAUGCGUAGAUAUUAGGAGGAACACCGGUGGCGAAGGCGGCCUGCUGGACUGCAACUGACGUUGAGGCCCGAAAGCGUGGGGAGCAAACAGGAUUAGAUACCCCGGUAC